CCGGCGACCGGCGCACGGGUGAGUAACACGUAUGCAACCUGCCCUCUUCAGGGGGACAACCUUCCGAAAGGGAGGCUAAUCCCGCGUAUAUCGGUUUCGGGCAUCCGAGAUCGAGGAAAGAUUCAUCGGAAGAGGAUGGGCAUGCGGCGCAUUAGCUAGACGGCGGGGUAACGGCCCACCGUGGCGACGAUGCGUAGGGGUUCUGAGAGGAAGGUCCCCCACACUGGUACUGAGACACGGACCAGACCCCUACGGGAGGCAGCAG
rnacentral:rRNA from 1 species